UACGUAGGGUGCGAGCGUUGUCCGGAAUUAUUGGGCGUAAAGAGCUUGUAGGCGGUCUGUCGCGUCUGCUGUGAAAAUCCGGGGCUCAACCCCGGACUUGCAGUGGGUACGGGCAGACUAGAGUGUGGUAGGGGAGACUGGAAUUCCUGGUGUAGCGGUGAAAUGCGCAGAUAUCAGGAGGAACACCGAUGGCGAAGGCAGGUCUCUGGGCCACUACUGACGCUGAUGCGCGAAAGCUAGGGGAGCAAACAGG
rnacentral:rRNA from 1 species